UACGGGGGGAGCAAGCGUUGUUCGGAUUUACUGGGCGUAAAGGGCGCGUAGGCGGUCACGUCAAGUCAGUUGUGAAAUCUCCGGGCUUAACUCGGAACGGGCAACUGAUACUGUCGGACUAGAGUGCAGAAGGGGCAACUGGAAUUCUCGGUGUAGCGGUGAAAUGCGUAGAUAUCGAGAGGAACACCUGCGGCGAAGGCGGGUUGCUGGGCUGACACUGACGCUGAGGCGCGAAAGCUAGGGGAGCGAACGGG
rnacentral:rRNA from 1 species